UUUUAUAGCGAUGACGUCACCCAGCCCCCCACCUGUCUCCAAAUGGACCCAAAAUGGUACCGUUCGUUUGUGCUUCGUUUGUGCAGGUUUGUGCAGCAAAAAUUUUCGUUUGUGCUGCUUCCGUUUCGGAGAUAUUACACAUUUAUUUUAUAGCGAUGACGUCUGGUAGCCCCGCCCCCUUGUUUACUUCCAAACGACCCAAAAUAGUGCCGUUCGUUCGUUUGUGUUUCGUUUGUGCUGGUUUGUGCUGCAAAAAUGGUACCGAUUGUGCCGGCUGCUACGGUUUUGCAGAUAUUACACAUUUAAUUCAUAGCGAAGACGUCACCCAGCCCCACGUCACUGUAUUUUGUCGCGAAUUUCAAGCUCCUGGAAUGCUCCUCAUGCAGGACGAAUACAAGGUCAUUAUAGAUCUCCCAGGCAUAUGCAGUCCUCCUGCAGUAUGCCACAUAAUGCCCGAGAGAAUCCUGGGUCAGUCCUGGUUCAAAGCCAAUGACUGCUCUCAAAGUAAAGGUCUUCUCUUUUAGCUCCAGACUGGAGGGAAAUUCAAGCAAGGCAACUUCCUUGCAACUGCUACCAAGAGUUUUGAAUGAAGACGGACACCGGGAAGGAUUUUUGGCGUUCAGUGAAUCAUUCAAUUUGUCAUUUAUUUAAUACUAAUUUAUUUUCUAGAGAUGUCAUAUCCUUACUCCAUG